UACGUAGGGUGCAAGCGUUAAGCGGAAUUACUGGGCGUAAAGCGUGCGCAGGCGGCUUUGCAAGACAGAUGUGAAAUCCCCGGGCUUAACCUGGGAACUGCAUUUGUGACUGCAUGGCUGGAGUGCGGCAGAGGGGGAUGGAAUUCCGCGUGUAGCAGUGAAAUGCGUAGAUAUCUGGAGGAAUACCGGUGGCGAAGGCGGCAUCCUGGACCAUUACUGACGCUGAAUCGCGAAAGCUAGGGGAGCAAACGGG
rnacentral:rRNA from 1 species